rnacentral:rRNA from 1 species
UAGGGAAUAUUGCACAAUGGGGGAAAGACCCUGAUGCAGCGACGCCGCGUGAAGGAAGAAGUAUCUCGGUAUGUAAACUUCUAUCAGCAGGGAAGACAAUGACGGUACCUGACUAAGAAGCCCCGGCUAACUACGUGCCAGCAGCCGCGGUAAUACGUAGGGGCAAGCGUUAUCCGGAUUUACUGGGUGUAAAGGGAGCGUAGACGGAGCAGCAAGUCUGAUGUGAAAGGCGGGGCUCAACCCCGGCGCAUCGUAUUGGAAACUGUUGAUCUUGAGUACCGGAGAGGUAAGCGGAAUUCCUAGUGUAGCGGUGAAAUGCGUAGAUAUUAGGAGGAACACCAGUGGCGAAGGCGGCUUACUGGACGGUAACUGACGUUGAGGCUCGAAAGCGUGGGGAGCAAACAGGAUUAGAUACC